rnacentral:rRNA from 1 species
AUUGAACGCUGGCGGCAGGCUUAACACAUGCAAGUCGAACGAGUGGCGGACGGGUGAGUAAUGCUUGGGAAUCUAGCUGAUGGAGGGGGAUAACUACGGGAAACGGUAGCUAAUACCGCAUACCAUAGGAUGAGCCCAAGUGGGAUUAGGUAGUGGGUGGGGUAAAGGCUCACCAAGCCGACGAUCUCUAGCUGGUCUGAGAGGAUGACCAGCCACACGUGGACUGAGACACGGUCCAGACUCCUACGGGAGGCAGCAGUGGGGAAUAGUGCGCAAUGGGGGCAACCCUGACGCAGCCAUGCCGCGUGAAUGAAGAAGGCCUUAGGGUUGUAAAGUACUUUCAGCGAGGAGGCGUUACCCGCAGAAGAAGCACCGGCUAACUCCGUGCCAGCAGCCGCGGUAAUUC